rnacentral:rRNA from 1 species
CUACGGGCCGCAGCAGCUGAGGAUCUUUUACAAUGCACGCAAGUGUGAUAAAGCGAGCCAGAGUGUUGUUCUUAGAACGACUUUUGUUUGCUGUAAAAAGGCAGACGAAUAAGGACUGGGUAAGACCGGUGCCAGCCGCCGCGGUAAUACCGGCGGUCCAAGUUGCAUCCAUUUUUAUUGGGUCUAAAACAUUCGUAGCUUGCUUUGUAAGUUUCUUGUGAAAUCUUAUGUCUCAAACAUGAGGCUUGCAAGAAAUACUGCAUAGCUAGAGACCGGAAGACGUAAGGAGUAUGAUUAAGGUAGCGGUAAAAUGUGUUAAUCUUAAUCAGACUAACAAUGGCGAAGGCACCUUACGAGUACGGAUCUGACAGUGAGGAAUGAAGGCCAGGGGCGCAAAACGGAUUAGAUACCCUUGUAGUC